rnacentral:rRNA from 1 species
CAGCAGCCGCGGUAAUACGUAGGUGGCAAGCGUUGUCCGGAAUUAUUGGGCGUAAAGCGCGCGCAGGCGGUUUCUUAAGUCUGAUGUGAAAGCCCCCGGCUCAACCGGGGAGGGUCAUUGGAAACUGGGGAACUUGAGUGCAGAAGAGGAGAGUGGAAUUCCACGUGUAGCGGUGAAAUGCGUAGAGAUGUGGAGCAACACCAGUGGCGAAGGCGACUCUCUGGUCUGUAACUGACUGCUGAGGCGCGAAAGCGUGGGGAGCGAACAGGAUUAGAUACCCUGGUAGUCCACGCCCGUAAACGAUGAGUGGUAAGUGUUAGAGGGUUUCCGCCCUUUAGUGCUGCAGCAAACGCAUUAAGCACUCCGCCUGGGGAGUACGGUCGCAAGACUGAAACUCAAAGGAAUUGAGGGG